rnacentral:rRNA from 1 species
UACUGACGCUAAAGCUCGAAGGUGCGGGUAUCGAACAGGAUUAGAUACCCUGGUAGUCCGCACGGUAAACGAUGGAUGCCCGCUGUUUGCGAUAUACUGUGAGCGGCCAAGAGAAAUCGUUAAGCAUCCCACCUGGGGAGUACGCCGGCAACGGUGAAACUCAAAGGGAUUGACGGGGGCCCGCACAAGCGGAGGAACAUGUGGUUUAAUUCGAUGAUACGCGAGGAACCUUACCCGGGCUUGAACUACCAGCGAACGAUUCAGAGAUGAUGAGGUCCUUCGGGACGCUGGUGGAGGUGCUGCAUGGUUGUCGUCAGCUCGUGCCGUGAGGUGUCGGCUUAAGUGCCAUAACGAGCGCGACCCUUUUCUUUAGUUGCCAUCAGGUAAUGCUGGGCACUCUGGAGAUACUGCCACCGUAAGGUGUGAGGAAGGUGGGGAUGACGUCAAAUCAGCACGGCCCUUACGUCCGGGGCUACACACGUGUUACAAUGGGGGGUACAGAGAGUCGGAUAUACGCAAGUAUGUUCUAAUCCUUAAAGCCUUCCUCAGUUCGGAUUGGGGUCUGCAACCCGACCCCAUGAAGCUGGAUUCGCUAGUAAU